rnacentral:rRNA from 1 species
UACAGAGGUCUCAAGCGUUGUUCGGAUUCAUUGGGCGUAAAGGGUGCGUAGGCGGCGCGGUAAGUCGGGUGUGAAAUCUUGGAGCUUAACUCCGAAACUGCAUUCGAUACUGCCGUGCUUGAGGACUGGAGAGGAGACUGGAAUUCCCGGUGUAGCGGUGGAAUGCGUAGAGAUCGGGAAGAACAUCAGUGGCGAAGGCGGUCUGCUGGGCCGUUGCUGACGCUGAGGCGCGACAGCGUGGGGAGCAAACAGG